CCUACGGGUGGUAGCAGUGAGGAAUAUUGGUCAAUGGCCGGAAGGCUGAACCAGCCAUGCCGCGUGAAGGUCAGUGCCCUAUGGGCGUUAAACUUCUUUUGUGCGGGAGCAAUAAUGGUCACGUGUGGCCAGACGAGAGUACCGUACGAAUAAGCAUCGGCUAACUCCGUGCCAGCAGCCGCGGUAAUACGGGGGAUGCAAGCGUUAUCCGGAUUUAUUGGGUUUAAAGGGUGCGUAGGCUGUGAGGUAAGUCAGCGGUGAAAUGCCCCCGCUCAACGGGGUGAAGUGCCUUUGAAACUGGCAAACUGGAGUGUGUGAGAGGAUAGUGGAAUUCCAGGUGUAGGAGUGAAAUCUGUAGAUAUCUGGAGGAACAUCAGUGGCGAAGGCGACUAUCUGGCACAUAACUGACGCUGAGGAGCGAAAGCGUGGGUAGCAAACAGGAUUAGAUACCCUAGUAGUC
rnacentral:rRNA from 1 species